rnacentral:rRNA from 1 species
UAACACAUGCAAGUCGAACGAUGAUAGAGAGCUUGCUUUCUUGAUUAGUGGCGCACGGGUGAGUAAUGCAUAGAUAAUGUGCCCUUAGUUCGGGAUAGCCACUGGAAACGGUGAUUAAUACCGGAUACUCCUUCUUGUUAUAAGACAAGUCGGGAAAGUUUUUCGCUAAGGGAUCAGUCUAUGUUCCAUCAGCUUGUUGGUGAGGUAAUGGCUCACCAAGGCUAUGACGGAUAUCUGGUUUGAGAGGAUGAUCAGACACACUGGAACUGAGACAUGGUCCAGACUCCUACGGGAGGCAGCAGUGAGGAAUAUUGCACAAUGGAGGAAACUCUGAUGCAGCAACGCCGCGUGGAGGAUGACGCAUUUCGGUGUGUAAACUCCUUUUAUUAGGGAAGAUAAUGACGGUACCUAAUGAAUAAGCACCGGCUAACUCCGUGCCAGCAGCCGCGGUAAUACGGAGGGUGCAAGCGUUACUCGGAAUCACUGGGCGUAAAGGGUGCGUAGGCUGGCUUUUAAGUCAGAUGUGAAAUCCAAUGGCUCAACCAUUGAACUGCAUUUGAAACUGAAAGCCUAGAGUUCAGAAGGGGCAGAUGGAAUUAGUGGUGUAGGGGUAAAAUCCGUAGAUAUCACUAGGAAUAUCAAAAGCGAAGGCGAUCUGCUGGGAUGAUACUGACGCUGA